rnacentral:rRNA from 2 species
GUCCCUAUAGAUAUGAUGCAAGUCGAGCGGAUCUUCAUUAGCUUGCUUUUGAAGAUCAGCGGCGGACGGGUGAGUAACACGUGGGCAACCUGCCUGUAAGACUGGGAUAACUUCGGGAAACCGGAGCUAAUACCGGAUAAUCCUUUUCCUCUCAUGAGGAAAAGCUGAAAGACGGUUUCGGCUGUCACUUACAGAUGGGCCCGCGGCGCAUUAGCUAGUUGGUGAGGUAACGGCUCACCAAGGCAACGAUGCGUAGCCGACCUGAGAGGGUGAUCGGCCACACUGGGACUGAGACACGGCCCAGACUCCUACGGGAGGCAGCAGUAGGGAAUCUUCCGCAAUGGACGAAAGUCUGACGGAGCAACGCCGCGUGAGCGAUGAAGGCCUUCGGGUCGUAAAGCUCUGUUGUCAGGGAAGAACAAGUAUCGGAGUAACUGCCGGUACCUUGACGGUACCUGACCAGAAAGCCACGGCUAACUACGUGCCAGCAGCCGCGGUAAUACGUAGGUGGCAAGCGUUGUCCGGAAUUAUUGGGCGUAAAGCGCGCGCAGGCGGUUCCUUAAGUCUGAUGUGAAAGCCCCCGGCUCAACCGGGGAGGGUCAUUGGAAACUGGGGAACUUGAGUGCAGAAGAGGAGAGCGGAAUUCCACGUGUAGCGGUGAAAUGCGUAGAGAUGUGGAGGAACACCAGUGGCGAAGGCGGCUCUCUGGUCUGUAACUGACGCUGAGGCGCGAAAGCGUGGGGAGCGAACAGGAUUAGAUACCCUGGUAGUCCACGCCGUAAACGAUGAGUGCUAAGUGUUAGAGGGUUUCCGCCCUUUAGUGCUGCAGCAAACGCAUUAAGCACUCCGCCUGGGGAGUACGGCCGCAAGGCUGAAACUCAAAGGAAUUGACGGGGGCCCGCACAAGCGGUGGAGCAUGUGGUUUAAUUCGAAGCACGCGAAGAACCUUACCAGGUCUUGACAUCCUCUGACAACCCUAGAGAUAGGGCGUUCCCCUUCGGGGGACAGAGUGACAGUGGUGCAUGGUUGUCGUCAGCCUCGUGUCGUGAGAUGUUGGGUUAAGUUCGCA